rnacentral:rRNA from 1 species
AGCUCCAAUAGCGUAUAUUAAAGUUGUUGCAGUUAGAACGCUCGUAGUCGGAUUUCGGGGCGGUCCGACCGGUCUGCCGAUGGGUACGUACUGGUCGGAUGGUCCUUCCUCCUGGAGACCGUGCCUACUCUUGACUGAGCGGGGGCGGGAGACAGGACUUUUACUUUGAAAAAUCAGAGUGUUUCAAGCAGGCAGCUCGCUCUUGCAUGGAUUAGCAUGGGAUAAUGAAAUAGG